rnacentral:rRNA from 1 species
AGACCCGAAACCCGGUGAUCUAGCCAUGGGCAGGUUGAAGGUUGGGUAACACUAACUGGAGGACCGAACCGACUAAUGUUGAAAAAUUAGCGGAUGACCUGUGGCUGGGGGUGAAAGGCCAAUCAAACCGGGAGAUAGCUGGUUCUCCCCGAAAGCUAUUUAGGUAGCGCCUCGUGAAUUCAUCUCCGGGGGUAGAGCACUGUUUCGGCUAGGGGGCCAUCCCGGCUUACCAACCCGAUGCAAACUGCGAAUACCGGAGAAUGUUAUCACGGGAGACACACGGCGGGUGCUAACGUCCGUCGUGAAGAGGGAAACAACCCAGACCGCCAGCUAAGGUCCCAAAGUCAUGGUUAAGUGGGAAACGAUGUGGGAAGGCCCAGACAGCCAGGAUGUUGGCUUAGAAGCAGCCAUCAUUUAAAGAAAGCGUAAUAGCUCACUGGUCGAGUCGGCCUGCGCGGAAGAUGUAACGGGGCUAAACCAUGCACCGAAGCUGCGGCAGCGAACGUAUCACUUAAAGCGAUUCAGCGGGUUACGAUUGACGGAGCGAAGCGACGUCAAAGCGUAUACAAAGUCGAGUCGGUUUAAGGAUACGUUCGUUGGGUAGGGGAGCGUUCUGUAAGCCUGUGAAGGUGGCCUGUGAGGGUUGCUGGAGGUAUCAGAAGUGCGAAUGCUGACAUAAGUAACGAUAAAGCGGGUGAAAAGCCCGCUCGCCGGAAGACCAAGGGUUCCUGUCCAACGUUAAUCGGGGCAGGGUGAGUCGACCCCUAAGGCGAGGCCGAAAGGCGUAGUCGAUGGGAAACGGGUUAAUAUUCCCGUACUUGGUGUUACUGCGAAGGGGGGACGGAGAAGGCUAUGUUGGCCGGGCGACGGUUGUCCCGGUUUAAGCGUGUAGGUGUGUGUUCCAGGUAAAUCCGGUUCACUUUAACACUGAGGCGUGAUGACGAGGCACUACGGUGCUGAAGCAACAAAUGCCCUGCUUCCAGGAAAAGCCUCUAAGCAUCAGGUAACAUCAAAUCGUACCCCAAACCGACACAGGUGGUCAGGUAGAGAAUACCAAGGCGCUUGAGAGAACUCGGGUGAAGGAACUAGGCAAAAUGGUGCCGUAACUUCGGGAGAAGGCACGCUGACACGUAGGUGAAGUGAUUUACUCACGGAGCUGAAGUCAGUCGAAGAUACCAGCUGGCUGCAACUGUUUAUUAAAAACACAGCACUGUGCAAACACGAAAGUGGACGUAUACGGUGUGACGCCUGCCCGGUGCCGGAAGGUUAAUUGAUGGGGUCAGCGCAAGCGAAGCUCCUGAUCGAAGCCCCGGUAAACGGCGGCCGUAACUAUAACGGUCCUAAGGUAGCGAAAUUCCUUGUCGGGUAAGUUCCGACCUGCACGAAUGGCGUAAUGAUGGCCAGGCUGUCUCCACCCGAGACUCAGUGAAAUUGAACUCGCUGUGAAGAUGCAGUGUACCCGCGGCAAGACGGAAAGACCCCGUGAACCUUUACUAUAGCUUGACACUGAACAUUGAGCCUUGAUGUGUAG